AUCUCCGCUCUGUUUCUGUGGCCUCAGCGACUUUGGUCCUCCUCACACGCCGAAGGAGACAUGCAGUUGAUGGUGAUGCGACUCUUCUCAUCUUCGGCGUGGCGCAGACCUGACGACCCAACUCGCAUUUCUUCUCCGUCUUCCUCUCCUUCCUGUCUCUCUCUCUCUCUCUGCUUCUUUGCUCUGGAGCUCCGUAAAGAUGAGCUCCCUUUUGCAGGGAUUCUCCAAGUCCCUCGCCAUGACGGUGCUCUCUGAGAUCGGGGACAAAACGUUUUUUGCUGCCGCCAUCUUGGCAAUGUGCCAUCCGAGAAGACUUGUUUUGUCAGGUUGUUUGGCGGCUUUGAUCGUAAUGACUGUUCUAUCUGUCCUCGUUGGUUGGGCUGCUCCCAAUUUGGUAU